UGUCGGGGUAGAGUGGUUUGCAAAAAAUCAUUCAAAUUAAAAGUCAUAUGAUCAGUGGCGCCAUAAUCAAUUACUUGAGUCAUCCAGAGGCGUGGAGCUAUCAGUAGGGUCUACCUACAGAAACAAGGCUAAUUGGGGUUCAGUAGAGACAAGAGCAACACGGCCGAAACUACUGGCAGUUUCUUUAAGCUUCUGAGCG
rnacentral:lncRNA from 1 species